rnacentral:rRNA from 1 species
UACCAGCACCUCGAGUGGUCGGGACGAUUAUUGGGCCUAAAGCAUCCGUAGCCGGUUCUGCAAGUCCCCCGUUAAAUCCAGCUGCUCAACAGAUGGGCCGCGGAGGAUACUACAGAGCUAGGAGGCAGGAGAGGCAAGCGGUACUCAGUGGGUAGGGGUAAAAUCCGUUGAUCCAUUGAAGACCACCAGUGGCGAAGGCGGCUUGCCAGAAUGCGCUCGACGGUGAGGGAUGAAAGCUGGGGGAGCAAACCGG